rnacentral:rRNA from 1 species
CCCUUAGAUGUUCUGGGCCGCACGCGUGCUACACUGAGUGGAUCAGCGGGUCAGGUUGCGCGAAAGUGUUUCCUAAUCUUUAAAUCCGCUCGUGAUGGGGAUUGACGGUUGCAAUUUUCCGUCAUGAACGAGGAAUACCUUGUAAGCGCGGGUCAUCAUCCCGCGCUGAAUACGUCCCUGCCCUUUGUACACACCGCCCGUCCCUCCUACCGAUUGAGUGGUCCGGUGAGGCUUUGGGAUCUGAGCGGAAAGAGCGUUUCGCUGUUUCUGCCCGGAAAACUCAGUCGAACCUUAUCAUUUAGAGGAAGGAGAAGUCGUAACA